AGCAAUGAAGAUAUCGGAAUAAAACUUUACACAAAUACUGUGAAAAAAUUGGACAUUGAAAUCUGACAAUAACUUUUCAAUGCCCCGGAUAUGAAUAUGUAGAACUCAGUGACUUAGUGUAACUUUUCACCGAAAAUAUAGAAAACGAAGUGCUUCUACAUUGAAAAUACUAACAGAGAAGUACUUAGCUUUAAGUGCUAUUUAUACGGUAUACUGGGACUGGGAUUAACUGAGUGGUUUAUCCUCUUACUUUGGUUGAGUCUGUUGCCUAUCAAAUCUAUCUUCUUUAAACCGAUUGACUGCCAAUUAAUGAGCUGUACACAUAAGUAUUUCAUAGAGCCGUGAUAGGUGGCGUAUUGUUUGUAUUCGCUGUUGGAACGUCUAAGCAAUCAGGUGAACGAAAUCCAAAGUAGGUACUUAAUGGUACUAGAAGUACAUAUAUUAUAUAUGAGUAUAAUCAUGCAUUGCUAUUUAUUUGCCAAAUUUGUAGAUUUCUUUUCAAAUUCAUUUCAUUUUGAUUAGGCAUUUUUCGUGCAAUUGUUGCGAGUCAAGGCCUCUUGUUUUGCCUUGUGAUUUCAUUUGUAUACCUUUUUAUGAGUGUUUAUGUAUCAUAAGCUGAGUUUAGAUGUUUAAGGUUAAUAUAAUAUAUAACAGACAGUUAUAUGGACCCUCAA